rnacentral:rRNA from 1 species
AGUGAACGCUGGCGGUAGGCCUAACACAUGCAAGUCGAACGGCAGCACAGUAAGAGCUUGCUCUUACGGGUGGCGAGUGACGGACGGGUGAGGAAUACAUCGGAAUCUACUUUUUCGUGGGGGAUAACGUAGGGAAACUUACGCUAAUACCGCAUACGACCUACGGGUGAAAGCAGGGGAUCUUCGGACCUUGCGCGAUUGAAUGAGCCGAUGUCGGAUUAGCUAGUUGGCGGGGUAAAGGCCGACCAAGGAAACGGUCCGUAGCUGGUCUGAGAGGAUGGCCAGCCACACUGGAACUGAGAAACGGUCCAGACUCUUACGGGAGGCGGCAGUGGGGAAUAUUGGACAAUGGGCGCAAGCCUGAUCCAGCCAUACCGCGUGGGUGAAGAAGGCCUUCGGGUUGUAAAGCCCUUUUGUUGGGAAAGAAAAGCAGCAGGUUAAUACCCCGCUGUUCUGACGGUACCCAAAGAAUAAGCACCGGCUAACUUCGUG